rnacentral:rRNA from 1 species
GCUGCAGGAAUUCCCAAUACUAUCGAUACGGGUUGUGGGAGCAAGAGCCCGGAGAUGGAUUCUGAGACACGAAUCCAGGCCCUACGGGGCGCAGCAGGCGCGAAAACUUUACAAUGCAGGAAACUGUGAUAAGGGAACCCCGAGUGCCCGUAUGGACGGGCUGUUCAGGUGCUUAAAAACCACCUGGAGAAAGGGCCGGGCAAGACCGGUGCCAGCCGCCGCGGUAAUACCGGCGGCUCGAGUGGUGGCCACUAUUACUGGGCUUAAAGCGUCCGUAGCUUGGUCGUUAAGCCUCUGGGGAAAUCUUCCGGCUCAACCGGAAGGCGUCUCAGGGGAACUGGCGACCUAGGGAUCGGGAGAGGUGAGAGGUACUCUGGGGGUAGGAGUGAAAUCCUGUAAUCCUCAGGGGACCACCUGUGGCGAAGGCGUCUCACCAGAACGACUCCGACAGUGAGGGACGAAAGCUGGGGGAGCAAACCGGAUUAGAUACCCGGGUAGUCCCAGCCGUAAACGAUGCGCG